rnacentral:rRNA from 1 species
AAGUAGCUGCAGGAAGAGAAAGCAAAAGCGAUUGCCUUAGUAGCGGCGAGCGAAACGGCAGAAGGGCAAACCGAAUGAUGCGAGGUUAAGUUGAAGAGACGGAGCCGUAGGGAAACCGAGUCUGAAUAGGGCGCCUUAGUAUCAUGACGUAGACCCGAAACCAUGUGACCUACCCAUGAGCAGGUUGAAGGUGCGGUAAGACGCACUGGAGGACCGAACCAGGGCACGUUGAAAAGUGCUUGGAUGACUUGUGGGUAGCGGAGAAAUUCCAAACGAACUUGGAGAUAGCUGGUUCUCUCCGAAAUAGCUUUAGGGCUAGCGUCGACAUUAGAGAUUCUUGGAGGUAGAGCACUGUUUGGGUGAGGGGUCCAUCCCGGAUUACCAAUCUCAGAUAAACUCCGAAUGCCAAUGAAUUAUGGUCGGCAGUCAGACUGCGAGUGCUAAGAUCCGUAGUCGAAAGGGAAACAGCCCAGACCACCAGCUAAGGUCCCAAAAUAAUUGUUAAGUGGAAAAGGAUGUGGGGUUGCACAGACAACUAGGAUGUUAGCUUAGAAGCAGCUAUUCAUUCAAAGAGUGCGUAAUAGCUCACUAGUCGAGUGACCCUGCGCCGAAAAUGUACCGGGGCUAAAACAAUUUACCGAAGCUGUGGAUACCUUUAUAGGUAUGGUAGGAGAGCGUUCUAUGUGUGAUGAAGGUAUACCGUGAGGAGUGCUGGAACGCAUAGAAGUGAGAAUGCCGGUAUGAGUAGCGAAAGACAGGUGAGAAUCCUGUCCACCGUAAGACUAAGGUUUCCAGGGGAAGGCUCGUCCGCCCUGGGUUAGUCGGGACCUAAGGAGAGACCGAAAGGUGUAUCCGAUGGACAACAGGUUGAUAUUCCUGUACUAGAGUAUGUAGUGAUGGAGGGACGCAGUAGGCUAACUAAAGCAGACGAUUGGAAGAGUCUGUCUAAGCAGUGAGGUGUGAAUUGAGUCAAAUGCUUAAUUCUAUAACAUUGAGCUGUGAUGGGGAGCGAAGUUUAGUAGCGAAGUUAGUGACGUCACACUGCCAAGAAAAGCUUCUAGCGUUUAAACAUACUCUACCCGUACCGCAAACCGACACAGGUAGUCGAGGCGAGUAGCCUCAGGUGAGCGAGAGAACUCUCGUUAAGGAACUCGGCAAAAUGACCCCGUAACUUCGGGAGAAGGGGUGCUGACUUAAAGUCAGCCGCAGUGAAUAGGCCCAAGCAACUGUUUAUCAAAAACACAGCUCUCUGCUAAAUCGUAAGAUGAUGUAUAGGGGGUGACGCCUGCCCGGUGCUGGAAGGUUAAGAGGAGUGCUUAGCGUAAGCGAAGGUAUGAAUUGAAGCCCCAGUAAACGGCGGCCGUAACUAUAACGGUCCUAAGGUAGCGAAAUUCCUUGUCGGGUAAGUUCCGACCCGCACGAAAGGCGUAAUGAUUUGGGCACUGUCUCAACGAGAGACUCGGUGAAAUUUUAGUACCUGUGAAGAUGCAGGUUACCCGCGACAGGACGGAAAGACCCCAUGGAGCUUUACUGCAGUUUGAUAUUGAGUGUCUGUACCACAUGUACAGGAUAGGUAGGAGUCUAAGAGAUCGGGACGCCAGUUUCGAAGGAGACGCUGUUGGGAUACUACCCUUGUGUUAUGGCCACUCUAACCCAGAUAGGUGAUCCCUAUCGGAGACAGUGUCUGACGGGCAGUUUGACUGGGGCGGUCGCCUCCUAAAAGGUAACGGAGGCGCCCAAAGGUUCCCUCAGAAUGGUUGGAAAUCAUUCGCAGAGUGUAAAGGUAUAAGGGAGCUUGACUGCGAGAGCUACAACUCGAGCAGGGACGAAAGUCGGGCUUAGUGAUCCGGUGGUUCCGUAUGGAAGGGCCAUCGCUCAACGGAUAAAAGCUACCCUGGGGAUAACAGGCUUAUCUCCCCCAAGAGUUCACAUCGACGGGGAGGUUUGGCACCUCGAUGUCGGCUCGUCGCAUCCUGGGGCUGUAGUCGGUCCCAAGGGUUGGGCUGUUCGCCCAUUAAAGCGGCACGCGAGCUGGGUUCAGAACGUCGUGAGACAGUUCGGUCCCUAUCCGUCGCGGGCGUAGGAAAUUUGAGAGGAUCUGCUCCUAGUACGAGAGGACCAGAGUGGACUUACCGCUGGUGUACCAGUUGUCUUGCCAAAGGCAUCGCUGGGUAGCUAUGUAGGGAAGGGAUAAACGCUGAAAGCAUCUAAGUGUGAAACCCACCUCAAGAUGAGAUUUCCCAUGAUUAUAUAUCAGUAAGAGCCCUGAGAGAUGAUCAGGUAGAUAGGUUAGAAGUGGAAGUGUGGCGACACAUGUAGCGGACUAAUACUAAUAGCUCGAGGACUUAUCCAA